AGGUUUGUCACUCAUCUGCAGAACACAAUGAGUCCCAUGGCAAUAAUGCAAUUCGGAGCCAGUGUUUUUGUCAUAUGCUUUGCAUUAUUUCAAGCAACAUAUAGCAAGGACUUCAGUUCAGCACUGAAGUGCACAUCUUUUCUCCCCGUUCCGUGUACACAAGUCUACCUCUAUUGCUGGGCCGCUAACGAGGUAACUAUACAAGCGGAGGCAGUAUCACUGGCUGCUUACAGCUCCUCAUGGGUGGAGACCAGUCCCCGUUUCAAGCUCGCCUUGAGGAUUCUCAUCAGUCG